UAGGGAAUCUUCCACAAUGGACGAAAGUCUGAUGGAGCAACGCCGCGUGAGUGAAGAAGGGUUUCGGCUCGUAAAACUCUGUUGUUAAAGAAGAACGUGGGUAAGAGUAACUGUUUACCCAGUGACGGUAUUUAACCAGAAAGCCACGGCUAACUACGUGCCAA
rnacentral:rRNA from 1 species